rnacentral:lncRNA from 1 species
GCCUUUUCAAAUGUAAAGGGUGAUAUAUAAGAAGAGCUCAAACACUUAUCAAGCGUUGCUAUAGGAUUAAUUACGCACGAGUGGAAUAUGAUGUUCACCAUGAUUUAUAUAGCAAUAAAGAGCAUGUUGUAAAGUAUUUACACGUAAAUGCAGUAUUUAAAUAAUUGAAAUACAGUUACAGAAAAGAAAACAAAGAGGCAAGUCAGUUUCAGGAAUAAAAGAAUCAUAAAUGCUUUAAAAUAGACAGUUAAAUUGAAAUAAUGGGAAAGGGUACAUGGGAUAGAGCAUGCUUGGACUAAUUCAAAAAAGAUAAGUUCGUUAUGGCAAUAGCCUAAAAAUAUCCCCAGUAGUGUCUCC